CUCAGACCCUACCUCUGUCAGCGACUGGAACGGCUUUUUCAGGUCCACCACAUUCAAGUUUCCGAUCAGAGGAAGAGGUCGCGGCCCAGGAGGCAAAUGGCAAACCGACUUCUUCAAGCUGGGGCAGAAUGAAGGGACAGGACCCAUGCUGGAUUGCUGUCGUGGUGCCAGGUCACAAAACUCAGCUGGACCACUGGUGAUGCAAUGGAGGAAGCAGGACGCAGGAGGGAAAGCCCACGAUAAUGUAUGGCCCAGGGUGCAGCUGGCAAGGAAGGCAAUCUGUCCUCAGGGAAGACAAGGCUGACCAAGGAGGAAUUGGAAUGGUGAUGGCAUGAGGAUGUGCCAAUUCAGGAAUGAAGGUGACAGUAGGUCUAUCAGACCUUGGCUUCCAGUAUGCGAUCCUGAACACAGCAUGUGACUAAGUUGCCGGCUUGCAGGUGAGACAUCCCACAUGGGGCUGGGGAGAAAAUGUGGCUCCCUGCUCACAUGUCUUUGUCUUUCUACCAGCCCAGGCCAGAACCAAUAGCAUCUUCAGGUAAGCAGACUUUGUGGGCAUAGCUCAGGGAAAUAAGCACUUCCUCUAGACAAGGAGCCUGUACAUUAAACAGCCACAGGAUCAUCUAACUUCUCUGUGCUCAUCUGGAGAAGGACAUAUAAUCUUCUAAUGGGACACAAGUUAAUAAUGCUACAGUAACAGUAGGAUAAUGCAGACAAAGAGCUGUUAUAAGGCCAUAAUUCAGUCAAUGAGUUCUGAUAACAUAAUAAAACAUGAGAGUGAACACCAAGUGCUUAUGUGCCUUGCAAGGCUCUGCCACUGAUUUACAACCUCAAGAGAUGCGUAUCAGCCCAUGCAUUGUUAUCAGGGAUAUAUAAAGCAUGAGCACACCCUAUUAAACAUUAACAUUUUUAAAGUCUCAGAUGUGUUAAAACUCAGGCUGCUCCUUGCUAAUGGAUUUUGUUCAGUGACAAAUGUCAAUGCAAAAAGAAAUCAAAAGCUUUCUGACUUUGACCUCUUUCAAUUUUUUCAAAAUUAUUUCAUUGUUUUAUUGGCUUACACCCACU